CAGGCCUAACACAUGCAAGUCGAACGGUAACAGGAAGCAGCUUGCUGCUUUGCUGACGAGUGGCGGACGGGUGAGUAAUGUCUGGGAAACUGCCUGAUGGAGGGGGAUAACUACUGGAAACGGUAGCUAAUACCGCAUAACGUCGCAAGACCAAAGAGGGGGACCUUAGGGCCUCUUGCCAUCGGAUGUGCCCAGAUGGGAUUAGCUAGUAGGUGGGGUAACGGCUCACCUAGGCGACGAUUCCUAGCUGGUCUGAGAGGAUGACCAGCCACACUGGAACUGAGACACGGUCCAGACUCCUACGGGAGGCAGCAGUGGGGAAUAUUGCACAAUGGGCGCAAGCCUGAUGCAGCCAUGCCGCGUGUAUGAAGAAGGCCUUCGGGUUGUAAAGUACUUUCAGCGGGGAGGAAGGGAGUAAAGUUAAUACCUUUGCUCAUUGACGUUACCCGCAAAAGAAGCACCGGCUAACUCCGUGCCAGCAGCCGCGGUAAUACGGAGGGUGCAAGCGUUAAUCGGGAAUUACUGGGCGUAAAGCGCACGCAGGCGGUUUGUUAAGUCAGAUGUGAAAUCCCCGGGCUCAACCUGGGAACUGCAUCUGAUACUGGCAAGCAUGAGUCUCGUAGAGGGGGGUAGAAUUCCAGGUGUAGCGGUGAAAUGCGUAGAGAUCUGGAGGAAUACCGGUGGCGAAGGCGGCCCCCUGGACGAAGACUGACGCUCAGGUGCGAAAGCGUGGGGAGCAAACAGGAUUAGAUACCCUGGUAGUCCACGCCGUAAACGAUGUCGACUUGGAGGUUGUGCCCUUGAGGCGUGGCUUCCGGAGCUAACGCGUUAAGUCGACCGCCUGGGGAGUACGGCCGCAAGGUUAAAACUCAAAUGAAUUGACGGGGCCCGCACAAGCGGUGGAGCAUGUGGUUUAAUUCGAUGCACGCGAAGAACCUUACCUGGUCUUGACAUCCACGAAGUUUC
rnacentral:rRNA from 1 species